AUCCUAUCUUACUAUCACAUCAAGGGAGGGCAAUAAGUCCCUGCGGUUUUGAAAAUAUUUGAGUGGUCAAAGACUGUAAUGAAGUCUAUCUAUCUAUUAAUAUGACAUCAUCAUCAGUCAGCUUCUGCCUGCAAGGAACCAGUUUUCUUCGGAGCUCAACCCUCAGGGAUUGAGGAUUAAACACAGUAAAGGUUCCUGUUACUGGGGAUGAGGGGAAUAGAAGAAAGGCCGUUCCUCUUCUUUCCAACUAGACAACCAUAACCUUCAUCCAAAUACAAAUCAGUAG